rnacentral:rRNA from 1 species
GGACGAACGCUGGCGGCGUGCUUAACACAUGCAAGUCGAACGGAAAGGCCCUGCUUUUGUGGGGUGCUCGAGUGGCGAACGGGUGAGUAACACGUGAGUAACCUGCCCUUGACUUUGGGAUAACUUCAGGAAACUGGGGCUAAUGCCGGAUAGGAGCUCCUGCUGCAUGGUGGGGGUUGGAAAGUUUCGGCGGUUGGGGAUGGACUCGCGGCUUAUCAGCUUGUUGGUGGGGUAGUGGCUUACCAAGGCUUUGACGGGUAGCCGGCCUGAGAGGGUGACCGGCCACAUUGGGACUGAGAUACGGCCCAGACUCCUACGGGAGGCAGCAGUGGGGAAUAUUGCACAAUGGGCGGAAGCCUGAUGCAGCAACGCCGCGUGCGGGAUGACGGCCUUCGGGUUGUAAACCGCUUUCGCCUGUGACGAAGCGUGAGUGACGGUAAUGGGUAAAGAAGCACCGGCUAACUACGUG